rnacentral:rRNA from 1 species
CCUACGGGUGGCAGCAGUGGGGAAUAUUGCACAAUGGGCGAAAGCCUGAUGCAGCAACGCCGCGUGAAGGAAGAAGGGUUUCGGCGCGUAAACUUCUAGCAACAGGGACGAAAGAAAUGACGGUAACUGAAUAAGAAGCCCCGGCUAACUACGGGCCAGCAGCCGCGGGAAUACGUAGGGGGCAAGCGUUAUACGGAAUUACUGGGUGUAAAGGGUGAGGAGGCGGCCUGGGAAGCCAGAUGGGAAAGCCUUGGGCUUAACCCGAGGAUUUCAUUGGGAACUAUCAAGCUAGAGUACAGGAGCGGCAAGCGGAAUUCCUCGUGUCGCGGUUACAUGC